AGAACGAACGCUGGCGGCAUGCCUAAUACAUGCAAGUCGAACGAACACUUCGGUGUUAGUGGCGCACGGGUGCGUAACGCGUGGGAAUCUGCCCUUGGGUUCGGAAUAACAGUCGGAAACGACUGCUAAUACCGGAUGAUGACGAAAGUCCAAAGAUUUAUCGCCAAGGGAUGAGCCCGCGUAGGAUUAGCUAGUUGGUGAGGUAAAGGCUCACCAAGGCAACGAUCCUUAGCUGGUCUGAGAGGAUGAUCAGCCACACUGGGACUGAGACACGGCCCAGACUCCUACGGGAGGCAGCAGUAGGGAAUAUUGGACAAUGGGCGAAAGCCUGAUCCAGCAAUGCCGCGUGAGUGAUGAAGGCCUUAGGGUUGUAAAGCUCUUUACCCGAGAUGAUAAUGACAGUAUCGGAGAAUAAGCCCCGGCUAACUCCGUGCCAGCAGCCGC
rnacentral:rRNA from 1 species